rnacentral:rRNA from 1 species
UACGGAGGGUGCUAGCGUUGUUCGGAAUUACUGGGCGUAAAGCGCGUGUAGGCUGUUAGAUAAGUUGGGAGUGAAAUCCCAGGGCUCAACCCUGGAAUUGCUUCCAAAACUAUCUAGCUAGAGUUUGGUAGGGGAUGGCGGAAUUCCUAGUGUAGAGGUGAAAUUCGUAGAUAUUAGGAGGAACAUCAGAGGCGAAGGCGGCCAUCUGGACCAAUACUGACGCUGAGACGCGAAAGCGUGGGGAGCAAACAGG